GGUGGUAUAAGAAAGGAGCUAUCUGUGAAUCUCAAGAAGUCACACUACCUGGGUUCAAAUCUCAGUUCUACCA
rnacentral:tRNA from 1 species